rnacentral:rRNA from 1 species
UACGGAGGGUGCAAGCGUUGUCCGGAUUCAUUGGGUUUAAAGGGUGCGCAGGCGGGACAUUAAGUCAGGGGUGAAAGACGGUUGCUCAACAAUCGCAGUGCCUUUGAUACUGAAGAUCUUGAGUUCGGGAGAGGUGAGUGGAACUGCGAGUGUAGAGGUGAAAUUCGUAGAUAUUCGCAAGAACACCAGUGGCGAAGGCGGCUCACUGGCCCGAUACUGACGCUGAGGCACGAAAGCGUGGGGAGCAAACAGG